CCUCUCUCUCGAUCUCUCAGAAGAAACAAUAUCGAAGAUAAACUCAUUUCUCUUCUUCUUCUUCGUUGUUCUUCGUUUUCUUUCUUCUGAACUUCUUCUUUUUCGUUGUUCUUCGAUUUUUUUCUUCUUAAAAGAAUGAACUGAGAAAUCGUUCAUAUCAAUUAAGAAGAAAUCUGGAGAAGUAAAUGAAUCAGGAAGGUUUUACUGAGGUUGUGAAUUUGGUUUUGGUUAGGGUUAUUAUUGAUUGAAGAACGACGAAUCAGUAAGAAAUAGAGUUAGGGUUUCUGCAGUUAGUAUUGAGUUUGUGCAAAAUAGAAGGUGGAAUCGGUGGAUUGAAUAACAUAAGGAGGAGACGGUAGAGUUGUAUUAACUCGGGUUACAGAGGAUAGGGUAAAUCAGGAAGAGGAAGUUAGGGUUUGGAAAUUGAUUUAAGGUUCAAUUAGUGAUAUAUGGGAAGAAAUCAAAGACUGGUUUUGGUGAUUUGAGAAGUGAAUCGAUAUUUUGAAAUGAUGGUUCUGAGUAUAGAUGAUGGUGAGUGAAGAUGAAACCGAUGGUUAAGGUUUGGAAUUUGAUUUGAAGGUUACGAUAAAAUUGAGAAAAAGUUAAGUAAAGGAGGCUUUGGUCAAGUAUAUGUUGGUAGAAGGGUUUCAGGUGGAAGUAGGACUUCUUGUCCAACUGUUGUAGAGGUCUCGUGCGAUGGAAAGUAUAAUAAUCAAACUGCUCAUGGGAAAUCCUACUUUCUGUCAUGUCGAACCAGAAUGGAAGCCAAGUAGUUCAAAAACUUUGCAAACAUGUACAAAAUAUGUACUUGGGGGAUCUAUACGAAAUAGCAGUCAUAAACUGCGAAUCAUCAAACACUAGGUCGUGUCCCUUUAUGUUAAAGUCUAAACAUAAUAUCUCAGUUCAAAAAUUCUAGUUAGUUUCCUCUGAUAUGGCAAGUAUUUGAUCUGUUAUUGUUUUGUGUACUUUGCAGGAAUUUUGUGGUGCAACAUGUACUAGAGCGCCAUCCUAAUACUGCCAACCUUAUAUGCAAUAACCUUAGGGGACACUUAUUUCGAAUUUCUAAGGAUAAGUAUGGCAGUAAUGUUGUAGAAAAAUGUAUCAAAUCGAAUGCUACCGAUGUUGUAGUUUCGCAACUCUUCUGUGAUUGUAAUCAACAUGUUGAACUCGCUCAAGAUAAGUUUGGAAACUAUGUCGUCCAGAAAGCCCUUAAGCUUAGUAAGGGAAAGGCAUUACGCCAGCUAGUUGACACCCUUCGCAAAUGUUCGGGCGAUCGCAAGAAUCAUCCAAAUGGGAGGAAUGUGCAUAACUUGAUUAAAAGGAGAAUUGUUGUUGUACGAGAAUGAUUUAAGUUGUUGUACGAGAAUGAUUUAAGGUACUGUUGUGUAGUCUGGAGCCGUUAUGCCCAUUAUGCAGAAACACUUAUGAUGUAGACAAGAUGAUGGAUGAGAUUAAUGAGCAGACUGAGAACAUGAAGCAGGUUCAUGAAGCUUUUCAAACCCCUUUAGAGCAGCUGCCGACUUUGAUGAGGAAGAAUUGGAAUCUGAACUUGAGGAGUUGGAAGAGGCUGAAUUGGAGGAACAAGUUCUACAACCUGUAGCCCAAACUCAAGUUCAUAUAACGAUGCAUGGAAGGAAUUGCUUGAUGCAGCGGAGUGAUCAAAGCUUAAUCAAUUGAUGAAAGCUUAAGGGAUUGAAUGGUUGGCUUCGUUGGUGUUUAUGCAGCAACUAAAGCAAUCGAUAACCACAAGGAUAAACUGGUAGUAAAGAAGGCACCAAGAGCAGUGAGUAUUAACUUUCUUGAAUCAAUCUUAAAACCUAGUGCAGCAUAUAUUGUAAGAUCUAUGUAACAUGUGGUUGUGUAAACACUUUUAUUCGUUUUUAUAAAACAAUUAUUGAGUAUGAAUUAUGAAACUUGAAUUUGAAUGCAAGGGAGCAAGCACGAUGAAAACUUGACCAGUAUAGAAUGAAUGUAAAAGAGUGUUUAGGUACUUACCAGAAUUUGAAGCUUAACAGAAUUUUGUUGGGUACUUACAAAAAAUUGUAUUCUUUCUUAAUAGAACUGGACGAAUGU